AUUAUAUAAACUAUGCUAUGGAUUAUAAAAAAUAACUUUUUAUAGUCUGAUAAGCUGUGCCGGAGCCGGAAUAAGAGAGAAAUAUUUGAGGACCAUUUCCUACCCUUAACAACUUUCCUGUUCAAUAGAAGAAAAUCACUGGGUGUCGGCAGGAAGACAAUCAGAGUUUAAUCAUCGGCUUAAAUAUACAACAUGGCGAUAAAAUAUUUAUGUCUAUUGCUUUUUCUCAAUCUCUUUUGGGGAGUUGUCCCUUUGAAAGUAAAAUAAAUAAAUGUAAUGUUUGUCAAUUUAUCUAAAUAAAAUGUCUUCUGUUU